GACGAACGCUGGCGGCGUGCUUAACACAUGCAAGUCGAACGGACAGGCCCUGCUUUUGUGGUGUGCUCGAGUGGCGAACGGGUGAGUAACACGUGAGUAACCUGCCCUUGACUUUGGGAUAACUCCAGGAAACUGGGGCUAAUACCGGAUAGGAUCUCCUGCUGCAUGGUGGGCGUUGGAAAGUUUCGGUGGUUGGGGAUGGACUCGCGGCUUAUCAGCUGGUUGGUGUGGUAGUGGCUUACCAAGGGUUUGACGGGUAGCCGGCCUGAGAGGGUUAACGGGCACAUUGGGCCUGAGAUACGGACCAGAAUCCUACGGGAGGCAGUAGUGGGGAAUAUUGCACAAUGGGCGGAAGCCUGAUGCAGCAACGCCGCGUGCGGGAUGACGGCCUUCGGGUUGUAAACCGAUUUCGCCUGUGACGAAGCGUGAGUGACGGUAAUGGGUAAAGAAGCAACGGCUAACUACGUG
rnacentral:rRNA from 1 species